rnacentral:rRNA from 1 species
CGGCUCAGUAACACGUGGACAAUCUACCCUAAGGUGGGGGAUAACCCCGGGAAACUGGGGAUAAUACCCCAUAGACUAUGGAUGCUGGAAUGCUCUGUAGUUCAAAGGUCAGCCGCCUUAGGAUGGGUCUGCGGCCGAUUAGGUAGUUGUUGGGGUAACGGCCCAACAAGCCUGUAAUCGGUACGGGUUGUGGGAGCAAGAGCCCGGAGAUGGAUUCUGAGACACGAAUCCAGGCCCUACGGGGCGCAGCAGGCGCGAAAACUUUACAAUGCGGGAAACCGUGAUAAGGGAACUCCGAGUGCCCGUUAAAUCGGGCUGUCCAUCUGUUUAAAAAACAGGUGAAGAAAGGGCCGGGCAAGACCGGUGCCAGCCGCCGCGGUAAUACCGGCGGCUCGAGUGGUGGCCACUAUUACUGGGCUUAAAGCGUUCGUAGCUGGUUUGUUAAGUCUCUGGGGAAAUCUUCCGGCUUAACCGGAAGGCGUCUCAGGGAUACUGGCAGACUAGGGACCGGAAGAGGUGAGGGGUACUCCAGGGGUAGGAGUGAAAUCCUGUAAUCCUUGGGGGACCACCUGUGGCGAAGGCGCCUCACCAGGACGGCUCCGACAGUGAGGGACGAAAGCGGGGGGAGCAAACCGGAUUAGAUACCCGGGUAGUCCCAGCCGUAAACGAUGUGCGUUAG